rnacentral:pre_miRNA from 1 species
AAAAAAGAAAACCCUGUAUUUUUAUGUUUAACUUUGAUUGUCCGUCUUAUAUAAAAUUUUUUUAUAAUUCGUAUUUUCAUUGUUGCUAGAUGAUAAAACAUGAUUAAUAUUUUAUGCGCGACUUAUCUUUUUUAUUUUUUUUAUAAUUUAUUCAAAUAAGAUGGACGAUCAAACGUUCGGUACAGAAACC